GCAACGCGAAGAACCUUACCAGGUCUUGACAUCCCGAUGCUAUUUCUAGAGAUAGAAAGUUACUUCGGUACAUCGGUGACAGGUGGUGCAUGGUUGUCGUCAGCUCGUGUCGUGAGAUGUUGGGUUAAGUCCCGCAACGAGCGCAACCCCUAUUGUUAGUUGCCAUCAUUCAGUUGGGCACUCUAGCGAGACUGCCGGUAAUAAACCGGAGGAAGUGGGGAUGACGUCAAAUCAUCAUGCCCCUUAUGACCUGGGCUACACACGUGCUACAAUGGUUGGUACAACGAGUUGCGAGUCGGUGACGGCGAGCUAAUCUCUUAAAGCCAAUCUCAGUUCGGAUUGUAGGCUGCAACUCGCCUACAUGAAGUCGGAAUCGCUAGUAAUCGCGGAUCAGCACGCCGCGGUGAAUACGUUCCCGGGCCUU
rnacentral:rRNA from 1 species